rnacentral:rRNA from 1 species
UACGUAGGGAGCAAGCGUUGUUCGGAUUUACUGGGCGUAAAGGGCGCGUAGGCGCCUGUUAAGUCGAACGUGAAAUCCCCGGGCUCAACCCGGGAACUGCGUCCGAUACUGGCAGGCUUGAAUCCGGGAGAGGGAUGCGGAAUUCCAGGUGUAGCGGUGAAAUGCGUAGAUAUCGUCAAGAACACCGAUAGUGAAGACAGCUUACUAGGCUUAUACUGACGCUGAGGCACGAAAGUGUGGGGAGUCAAAACAGG